AACUCUUACCCUUAUUACAUAUGUACAUUUGUAUAUUGAUAUAUGUACAAAACCUGUUGAAACUAUUGUGGGGCAUUUAAACACGUACUUUUGUUGUUGCUUAACCGUCACUCGAUGGAAGCUGCUUUUUGGUCAUUGGGAGCACUAUGCGUAACGAAAUGACUAUCAAAGUGAUUACCAUAAGCCAACAAAUAUGAGGUGCUUGCAUUCGUGGGCAACUCAUUCCCGAGCUUGAAUUCGAUUUUCCAGCGAUCAUCUUUUUAUUGUGAACAGCAUGGCCGGAUGUUGGUUCCGGUUCGAUGUAUGUGUAUGUGUAUGUUGCGUACGGUUUUCUAUGUAUAAUACAUGAGUGUGUUAAAAGUGAAAAAUGUCAAUUGUCACUUUGACAUUUAUUGUUCACUUGUUCAUUCGUUCUGGUUAGUUUAUUUGCUUGUUUUGUUGUUAUAACAAAUAUGCCACGCGGCAUUGGCAUUCGAUUUGGAUGGCUCGCCCACUUUUCCUACUACUUUCAUAUCUCUUGUGGUGUUGGAGAAUGUGGAAAUAUUUCCGUGAAAUCGAAGUCAACGCACUUUUGUAGCAUUAAGCCUUAUAGCCACAAAAAUAUUAAACGGGUGUUAAAAACACCGUUGAAAUUGAAAUCAGUGUAGCAAACGUUAUAAUUUGAAUUUUGUGUGGAUUUGUGAUCAGUGGGAACAUAAAACUAGAUUAGAGUAGAUAUUGAGAAAUGUAACUUAAAGACAUUCAUUUAUUAAUUAUUAUGCGCAUUUAUAUUUAGAUCAAAAUAUGGUCAGAUUAUCAAGUAUAAAAGGAGCUUAUUCCACUAAUUAGUUGAGUAAGCAGUAAAUCAAAAAAAUAUAUCUUGAAAGUCUUAUUGAACUUUUUUUAUGUGCUUAUACAAAUUAUAACAAGAUGCGUUUAGACGUCUGCUAACAUUUCAAUGUAAUGUAUUUUAAUAUCCGACAUUUUUGCACAAUUUUGGACGCAACAAAUUGGCGGUUUAAUGCAAUUGUGAUAUGAAUAAAAGGGAAUGCUUGCCGUGACUGGCUUGAAAGCCUAUACUAAAUACUACAGCUAGGACCUAUGUGUCAACUGUACUCUUUCCCAAUUAAUGGGGCAAUUGUCCGGAAAACUCGACCGAUUGCUGGAAAAUCUCGCGCUGUACUAAAAGUGUUGAGCGCACGUCAGAACUCAAGCCCCUGAUACGGGUGGUUGGCGAUUUUGGGUUGGGGCCAACAAAGCAUUUGUCCAUCAGCGAAUAACACUAAACCAACAACACUUGCGCACAAUGAAUAUUGGAGUUUAAUGUUGCAAUAACAACUAAAACAAUGUAAAAAAUAACGAAGCCACGCAUUCAGUCCAUACAGAAACAGAAAAAAAUAUUAAUUAGAUGCGCACACACAAUAGUAACAAUUCGAAAAUGAUACGAAUACCGAAAUCUAUUGUGAUGCAAAUCUGCGCUGCUACCACCACUAACAUGACUCUGCCGCACAAACGCACGAUAAUGGUCGCAUGAUUGUCGCGCUGCCGGGCGUUAUUUGUGGGAGUUGUCGCCGACGCGGCAAGGUGCCAUAACUAUACCCCGAACACUAACACAUAGAUAAUCAUACAGGCCCGCACGCACACUUUUACAUAGGCAAAUAUUGCCACACACUGCCGCCAAAUUACGACCUUACACGUUCACGGACUGAUCAUUUCGAUCCCUCCACCGAUUUAGCCGUGUGCUCUGAUGUCAUCAGACUAUUUAUUCCAUCAACAGAAGUUUUCGAAACUAUACCACUUUACACUGAGGUCUCUGGCAAAUGCGGUCUUUUUCUGAGAAUAUUGUUUGCGUUCUGUGUACAAAGUUGACGGUUAUGCUUGGAGCCAGUCGCUGCAGUGGUUCGCCCUCGGCAACAGCAUACGCAGCGCGGCGGCUGCGUCGUUGGUCAUGUUUGAAUGAACAACGCAAGCUUCAAGCUUUUUGCUUCAACAUUUGUACUUGGCUUUGUUUUUGUUAUUUAAUGCGCCUUCAUAAAGAACACUGAACGCGUGUCGGACACAGUUGUGAUUGGCAGGCCCAAAACGCCACUCUGCGCUUACGAUAAAGCAUUGCGUGGCAAACAGUCAAUAUGUUAAAAAGCCAAUAUAUUUGUAUUGAAAUUUUUGCGACCGCUUGAAAGGUCAACGAAUCCGCCAUUAAUUGCUGCUGCUGUGGGCAGAGCAUGAAAUUUUAAUUGUAUUCACCAAAUAUAGCAGGUUGUAAUUUUCAUGAAUAAACGGUAUCGUGCAAAACAUAUGGCACUGGGUUGCUUGGUAAAACUUAUUUCUAAUUUUGUUUCAGCUCAAGUCCUUUAGUGUCAAUUAAAUCCUCACUAGUUUAGGCAGCAUAAACGGUUCCAUUACGAUGCGGCGCAUGUUUGAAACAAGUCUUGGGCAAAUCUAAUGCAACUAGCUGAUGCUGGUGUGGUGGGCAUGCCAAUUAACAAAUAUAAUGCUCAUAGAAAUUCAUAAUUUUUUAAGUUGAUUUUCUUCGAUCGCUUCUGACUAUAAGAAUACAUUUUAAACACUCGUUUUUGCAAUGACCCCAUAUAUGGACAGCUCCCUUAGCCGGACAAAAUCUCCGGUUAUGAAGAAUUUCACUGUAUGUAUACUACCAUAUACCCAGGAACAACAACAUACCAUAUUGUAGAUUUGAUGUGAAGAACCAUGAUGGUCAACUGACCAGAACUAUAACUAUUGUUCCUAUUUUACUAUUUUAGAGCACACACAACUAAAACUGAAAAUCCAUGUAGAAAUUGACAGAUGGAAAGUAUUGUAAAAUUAUAUAUAUUUACAUGCGUUUAUAUAUACAUAUGUACAUAUGUAUAUUGUUGCUUUGGCGAAUUGUACAUGCAUAAUAUAUACGAGUAUUUGCUUCUGAGGCUGCCGUUAACACCUUAUGGUAUUGGAUGCCGACAGUUCGACGGACUACAAAUGGCGAUAAGCACACACCGCGCAGACCGGAAGCCACAGUCCGCUGCUUGGUUGUUGAAGUUCAGCGCGCCAACAACAUUAUCAAUACGUCAACAGUCGCUCACACCUAUGUUUUGUAUGUUUGUGCAAAUUAUUCCAUUACAAUCGGAGGUCAACUGCCAGUUAGCAGUCAUGUGCAUAAAUAAAGCCUUUGAUAUCUAUAGAAUUUUGGAUUUUUUUCUAGCUUUUCAACAAGCCCAAACGCAAAUAAAUUUUCUGUUGAUCAUUGAUCUAGAAAGUUUAUUGUGGAUCAGUAAUCCAGGCAGAACGAUAUGUAAAGAAGUGAUUAACAUACAAUUAUGAUCGAAUUGAGAGCAUGACCAAUUACCAUAUACCAGCAAUUUUAUGAAAGUCACCCUCAACGGCAUUUUUUCAAAAGUGAAAAGAACGUUUCUUUAUUAUGAUGAAAGAAGUGACGACGGUACUAAAACUGAAAUCCAUUAAAAAGUGUUACUGUAUUAUAAUGUAUUAUAUAAAUUGAAUUCAUGGUUCCUUACCAUAUAACAACGGAGUUUUAAGAUUCGUUGCUCAUAAUAAAGUCGACCGAAAAGUGCUAGCGGAUUUAUCGAAAAAGAAGAUGGAAAUCUGACUCCGGUUCCUGACAUUUCAUUUCACUCUGAUUGACAAGCAGAGGAAGUUUUCAAGUCGAAAUUGGAGUGCCCUGUAACGCUAUCGCUUAAUCUAUAAAGAAUCCACAAUAACAUUUAACCUUUUCCCUUAAAUUUGAGAAAAUUUCUUAGUUUCCUUCCUGUCUGUGGGCUUUCCUUCUACGCAAUAUAAUAAGCGGGAGUUCGUAAAGAUGCUGCUUUCUUACAAACUAAUAUUUGUUUUAUUGUUUCGUUGCUUUUUGCCCUAACUAAUCAAUGACUCAUUCUUACAUGGCUUGCAGCACGAAGCUUUUCAUGUAGUAGCAAGUGUUGUUAUUGCCAAUCGUAAAUAUCGUAAAUGUUGCAAGAUCUUUGCAUGCGUAGUGGCUUUUGUUGUUGCGCUCUCAGCCAAUUAUCAUAGCUUCUCGUCGUUCACCUUCACCUUGUGGCAUUACUUUUCUCGAUGUUUGCUGGUUUUGCGACUGUGCGGUGUUUCCGUUAUCACUUUUGCUACAAUAGAUCAAUACACUAGUUCCCAUAUCGCUAAACUGAUGAACAGAGAUUGCUGAUCCGCAGGCGUUUCAAGCGUUGGUAUGAGUGCAUCAUCAAUGUAUGUCAUCGUUUUCUUUUUUCGUUGUUUUCUGAGUGUACACUGUGCGAAAUAUAUUUUAUUUAUACUGUAAAUUUUUUCUUUAAUUUCAACACGUUGUCUAAACACCAUCAUUUUGCUAGGCCAACCUAUUUUAUGUACAUACACUAAUAAUAAAAGUACGAAAUGAAUAUUAAAUAAGCGAUUAUUCAAAAUGAGCUUCUAGGUUCACGACGUUUCAAGAACAUGCCCUGUAGUACCUGUGUAUUUUUCCUAUUUGUUAACAUCAACCAUAUAAAGCACAGUAAAGAACAUGCAACAUACCAAAAAAAGAGAAUGUUGUCUCGCGACUUCGAUAAAAUAGGCAUACGUGCGUGCGCAUACAUUUUUGCAUAAAACCGUUGAGUGUCGAAGUAUUGAAUAAGGAGUGCAGAAACGAAAGAAAGAACGAGAAAAUAGUCGUGUAUGCUGCAGUGGAUAUGCAUAGAAGUAAAUUGAAGGUGCCGCUUACGAAAGUGGCUGUGCGCGGUUGAUUGGGCUCAUGUAUGGAUGCACCAUGCGAGAGUGCUUAUGUAUGUAAAUUUGUGUAUUAUUAGUUUUAAGGUUGCCAACAAUAACUGUUAUCAUACGGUGUUGGCAAUCAAAAAAGCAGCUAUUUGCCAAGCUCAGCGUCGAACGGACAGCGCUGGCCAUCUCAGGCGCACAACAACAGUAAUCAUGUGGCAGCAUCAGCAGCCGUGGCCGUACAGCAAAACCUGUGCCAUUAGCAACAUUUUACUGAACGGUUCAUUCGAAAUUUGUAUAUGCACAUGGGGAAGUGGAAAGGGGAAAAAUAUGAACAUUAUCCAACAUACAUACAUAUAUACCUGUAGAUUCAUCCAUCUAAAUAUGUACAUAUACACAUUGGAUGAACGGGAAUGCGUCUUUGCGUGUGCGCAUAAGAUAUGCAAACCAACUGAAUAGGUUGUUGUUGUAGAUUUACUGGUAUUUAUUCUAAUAUCCUCGAAUCCACUGAAAUAUUUAUAAAUGGAUAUGUACUUGAUUUUUGCGUGACAUAUUAGAUCAUCGCCAAAGUUGAUGUCUGAAUUUGUGGAGAUAACAAAUAAUGAACCAAUAAUGUGCUUUUAUAAAAAGCAAACCAAGCGAAUAGCAUGUUACUUCACACAAUGAACGAAUACUUGUAUUUAUAUGAAUUUGUAUAAAUUCGCGUAUUUCAUAACAUUCGGCCAUUCGACAAUGCGAAGGGCAUUGAACUUUCGCCAUUUUGCGAUCAGUAAUAUUAUGUAUCGAGAAGUACGCUCUUGUCAAGAGCUAUACAUUAUUUGUUCUAAUCGUGUACAUAUGUAGAUUACUUUAAAAUUCCUGUACCAAAAAAGAUAACGGAAGUAUUGCUGUUAACAGAACCUCAACACUGUUUAAAAAACUUCGCUGCAGAAUCACUCUUCAUAUGAGCGUAUUUUUGAAAAGCUAAAUAAAUGCUAACUCUACA